AUUGAACGCUGGCGGCAUGCUUUACACAUGCAAGUCGAACGGCAGCGCGGGCUUCGGCCUGGCGGCGAGUGGCGAACGGGUGGGUAAUACAUCGGAACGUGCCCAGUAGUGGGGGAUAGCUCGGCGAAAGCCGGAUUAAUACCGCAUACGACCUGAGGGUGAAAGAGGGGGAUCUUCGGACCUCGCGCUAUUGGAGCGGCCGAUGGCAGAUUAGCUAGUUGGUGGGGUAAAGGCCUACCAAGGCGACGAUCUGUAGCUGGUCUGAGAGGACGACCAGCCACACUGGGACUGAGACACGGCCCAGACUCCUACGGGAGGCAGCAGUGGGGAAUUUUGGACAAUGGGCGAAAGCCUGAUCCAGCAAUGCCGCGUGUGUGAUGAAGGCCUUCGGGUUGUAAAGCACUUUUGGCGGGAACGAAAAGGACUGUGCCAAUACCACGGUUCGAUGACGGUACCCGCAGAAUAAGCACCGGCUAACUACGUG
rnacentral:rRNA from 1 species